AGUGAACGCUGGCGGUAGGUCUAACAAAUGCAAGUCGAACGGCAGCCCCGUAAUAGCUUGCUCUUACGGGUGGCGGGUGGCGGACGGGUGUGGUAUACACCGGAUUCUCCUAUUUCGCGGGGGAUAACGCAGGUAAACUGACGCUGAUAGCGCAUACCGCCUACGGGUGAAAGCAGGGGAUCUUCGGACCUUGCGCGAAUGAAUGCGACGAUGUCGGAUUAGCUAGCUGGCGGGGUAAAGACCCACCAAGGCGACGAUCCGUAGCUGGUCUGAGAGGAUGAUCAGCCACACUGGAACUGAGACACGGUCCAGACUCCUACGGGAGGCAGCAGUGGGGAAUAUUGGACAAUGGGCGCAAGUCUGAUCCAACCAUACCGCGUGGGUGAAGAAGGCCUUCGGGUUGUAAAGCCCUUUUGUUGGGAAAGAAAAGCAGCAGGUUAAUACCCCGCUGUUCUGACGGUACCCAAAGAAUAAGCACCGGCUAACUUCGUG
rnacentral:rRNA from 1 species